UGAGUCUGAGGUGUCCUACACAUGGU
rnacentral:piRNA from 1 species